GCAUUGUUAAGGAACUCGGCAAAAUGACCCCGUAACUUCGGGAGAAGGGGUGCCAUCCUCCGGGAUGGCCACAGAAAAUAGGCUCAAGCAACUGUUUAGCAAAAACACAGGUCUAUGCGAAACCGAAAGGUGAGGUAUAUGGGCUGACGCCUGCCCGGUGCUGGAAGGUUAAGAGGAGAGGUUAGCGCAAGCGAAGCUUUGAAUUGAAGCCCCAGUAAACGGCGGCCGUAACUAUAACGGUCCUAAGGUAGCGAAAUUCCUUGUCGGGUAAGUUCCGACCCGCACGAAAGGCGUAAUGAUUUGAGCGCUGUCUCAACAAUGCACCCGGUGAAAUUGAAGUACCAGUGAAGAUGCUGGUUACCCGCGCCAGGACGGAAAGACCCCAUGGAGCUUUACUCCAGUUUGGUACUGGGAUUCGGUAAUACUCGUACAGGAUAGGUGGGAGACAUAGAAGCAUGGACGCCAGUUUAUGCAGAGUCGCCGUUGGGAUACCACCCCUGUAUUGCUGGAUUUCUAACCUGCGGCCGUUAUCCGGCCGGGGGACAAUGCCAGACGGGGAGUUUGACUGGGGCGGUCGCCUCCGAAAGAGUAUCGGAGGCGCUCGAAGGUUCCCUCAGAAUGGUCGGAAACCAUUCAAAGAGUGCAAAGGCAGAAGGGAGCUUGACUGCGACACCGACGGGUGGAGCAGGUACGAAAGUAGGACUUAGUGAUCCGGUGGUAUAAAGUGGGAUUGCCAUCGCUCAACGGAUAAAAGCUACCCUGGGGAUAACAGGCUUAUCACUCCCAAGAGUUCACAUCGACGGAGUGGUUUGGCACCUCGAUGUCGGCUCAUCGCAUCCUGGGGCUGUAGCAGGUCCCAAGGGUUGGGCUGUUCGCCCAUUAAAGCGGUACGCGAGCUGGGUUCAGAACGUCGUGAGACAGUUCGGUCCCUAUCCGGCGUGGGCGUAAGAUAUUUGAGAGGAGCCGUCCUUAGUACGAGAGGACCGGGACGGACUGACCGCUGGUGUACCUGUUGGAGAGUAACUCCAUGGCAGGGUAGCUAUGUCGGGACGGGAUAAACGCUGAAGGCAUCUAAGCGUGAAGCCCCCCUCAAGAUG
rnacentral:rRNA from 1 species